rnacentral:rRNA from 1 species
GACGAACCCGACAAUCGUUAUUCGGAAUUACUGGGCUUAAAGGGUGCGUAGGCGGUGCGGUAAGUGCGGUGUGAAAGCCCACGGCUCAACCGUGGAAUUGCGCUGCAUACUGCCGUGCUGGAGGGAGACAGGGGUAAGCGGAACUGAUGGUGGAGCGGUGAAAUGCGUUGAUAUCAUCAGGAACACCGGUGGCGAAAGCGGCUUACUGGGUCUCUUCUGACGCUGUGGCACGAAAGCUAGGGUAGCGAACGGG